UACGGGGGGGGCAAGCGUUGUUCGGAAUUACUGGGCGUAAAGAGCUCGUAGGCGGUUUGUCGCGUCGUCUGUGAAAACCAGCAGCUCAACUGCUGGCUUGCAGGCGAUACGGGCAGACUUGAGUACUGCAGGGGAGACUGGAAUUCCUGGUGUAGCGGUGAAAUGCGCAGAUAUCAGGAGGAACACCGGUGGCGAAGGCGGGUCUCUGGGCAGUAACUGACGCUGAGGAGCGAAAGCGUGGGUAGCGAACAGG
rnacentral:rRNA from 1 species